GCGACGCCGAGNGACCGAAAACCGGUCUCAGUUCGGAUCGGAGUCUGCAACCCGACUCCGUGAAGCUGGAUUCGCUAGUAAUCGCGCAUCAGCCAUGGCGCGGUGAAUACGUUCCCGGGCCUUGUACACACCGCCCGUCAAGCCAUGGGAGCCGGGGGUGCUUGAAGUGCGUCGCCGCGAGGCGCGCCCUAGAGCAAAACCGGUGACUGGGGCUAAGUCGUAACAAGGUACC
rnacentral:rRNA from 1 species